AAAAAAAAAAAAAACGGAAGCUGAAAACUACAAAACCAGACACCAAUGGAUCAAAGCCAAUUCCCAGUUUCCAGUGACAAUGAUUCAAAUAAGCAAUCCCAAGCGAUUGAAGAGGAGAGAGAAAGACGGUCCUACUUGCCACUGUAUAAAGCUGCACUGAGAGGUGAUUGGGAAGCUGCAAGUAGAAUUUUUUGUGAUGAUCCUGGUGCAGUAACUGCUAUGAUUUCAGGCAUUGGAGAGAUUACUCUUCAUGUUGCAAUUGGCAAAGGUCGCUCAUCCAUAAGAUUCAUACAGAUGCUUGUAGAAUUAAUGCCAGCGGAUUUCUUAGUAGCGGCAAAUAAUGAUGGUGAAACACCUCUUCAUUAUGCUGCUAUUGCUGGAAAUGUUCAAGCAAUAAGGAUCUUGGUGACAAAGAAUCGAGCAGUGCUGGAUAUAAAAAACAGAUAUGGCAGUCUCCCACUUCAUUAUGCUGCCCAAUUUUGCCAAAAGGAAGCAGUUUCCUAUCUUUUGUCAGUGACAGAUCUAAGUGAAUUCUCAGGCAUACAUGGCGUCAGACUUGUCAAUCUUUUAAUAAUUGCUGAUUUCUAUGGUCGGUAUCAUCUUCAAAAGUCAAUUUAGCAAAGUUAGGAUUCUUAAUUGUAGUCCUAAUUAAUUGUGAAUCACUUAUUAUCUCUUGCAACUCCCUUUUCAUCCAAAUAUUUGCAGGGAAGCCAUUUUUCCUUUUCCAAUGAUCUAAACGUCUAUUUCCUUUUGCAGAUAUGGCCCUUGAUGUACUACGGAGAUAUCCCAAAUUAGCUAUUGAAAGAGAUUAUGAAGGGACAACUGCCUUGGCGACGUUGGCAAAUAAGCCUCAUGCAUUUCCAAGUGGAAGCAACCUUGGGUUUUGUGAUCGCUUGUUGUAUCGAUUUGCUUCGGUACAUUCAGAUGGUGUCCCUCGAGGUGGAGAUUUGGAAAGUAUAGCUGACAGUUUAAAAGAAUACCAAAAAGAAUCAAAGAAAUUUGGGUUUCUACACAACAUAAAGAAUACAAAGUUGAAGCACAUUCUAGCAUUAGAGCUACUCAGACUCUUGAUUACGGAAGCUUUAGACGCAAGACCCUCAGAGACUCGCAUGCUACUGAAAAAUCCAGUACACACUUCUGCUAGAUUGGGGAUUUAUGAAGUGGUUGUAGAGAUUAUAAAGGCCUACCCUGAAUCAGUUUGGGUUGUUGAUGAUGAUGGAAGGAACAUUUUUCAUUUGGCAAUAAUUCACCGCCAUAAGUUUAUUUUCUCUCUCCUAAAUGGACUGAGUCCGCAAAAUAAGCAUCAUCUUGUUACCUCGUCAACAGACAGGCACGGCGAAAACAUGUUACAUUUAGCUGCGAGGGUGCAACCAUCAGAUGAGAUCCGGGGUACUCCAUCAGACAAGAACUCUGGUGCUGCUCUGAAAAUGCAUUCGGAUAUGCAAUGGUUUAAGGUUAUACAUAUGCAUUUUUGGAUUCCCUUUCAAAUUCAUCUAUUUCUUCAUCCUUUCCAUUCUUUAAUUUAUUUUGUUCGCUUGGUUCUAAGUAGGAUUGGAACUCUAAACUUGACAGUCUAGGAAUAUACCAUUGAGUUAAAUUCUAUCUUUUGUUUCUGAAUUCUUUGCAGGAUGUAGAAAAAAUUGUCCAACCAUUAUACCGAGAAAUGAGAAACUUUGAUGGGGAUACUCCGAGAAUGAAAUUUUACGAGCAACACAAGUAUCUUGCCGAGGAUGCAGAUAGAUGGAUGAAAACUAUAACUUCAUCAUGCAUGGUCGUACCAACACUUGUCAUCACAGUUGCUUUUGCGGCUGCUUUUACUGUGCCAGGGGGCAAUACCCAGGAUCGAGGAAUCCCGAUCUAUUUAAAUCAAAUUUCAUUUAUGAUUUUUGCAGUAUCAGACGCUCUGGCAUUCUUCUCUUCAUGCACUUCAUUGCUAAUGUUUAUAUGCAUAUUCAAUUCAGACUACUCAGAAGAAAAUGCUGUCAGAUCUUUCAAAUUGUUCACCUUCGGUUUUAUCUCUCUAUUCUUUUCAAUAGCAACUAUGUUUGCAGCGUUUGGUGCUUCCCUUCAUAUUGUCCUUUCUCAAAAAGUGGAAUGGAUUGCAGCUCCCAUUAGCUUACUAGCCUGUGUACCAGCGGCCUUAUUCGCAUAUUUCCAGUUUCCUCAGUGGUUCAGUGUAGCCUAUUCAGCAUUUAAACCUAGCAUUAUACCUCAACAUACUGAGGAAAUCAUCUUUUAGUCACAGAAAUUCUGUGAAUGAUGUCCCCACUAAGCUAGUUUUCAUCUUGAAUUUCUUUUGUAUGUCUUAUCAAUAUUUAUGCAACAUUAAUGUUCUCUUUGCAUUUGUGUGCGGUUUGUAACGUUGUUUAUUUAUUUGUAUGAUAUGUAUUUGUGGCUGUAUUAUCUUCUAUAUGAAGACUAGCUAAUAAACAUUAGCUACAUUCCUAUGUGAUGC
rnacentral:misc_RNA from 1 species